GCCAAAGCUAAGAACAAUCACUUAACAUCUUAAAUGUGAAGAAGCAGCAUGCCAUCUGGUUGUGGGUUUUAAUAUUCCUCUCUCUCAACCUUUCAGCAGUACCUUUUUAAGUUUUUUUUUUCUGCCUGCUUUGUAGUUUCUCUUUAUGCAGGGUAGGGUAACAAAAGAACUUGAAGUUUUUAAUGUAAAGCAUCUUCUGCACUGAGCAAUUUUAAGGAAAGGUCUCCUUUGGCCUUCUAAGCUCCCUGAAUCUCUGUUAUUCUCCUCCAGUGCUGUCUAAUCUAUAGACUACAGUGCUUUUCAUGGUGAUGGUUUUGAAAGAAAGACAUGAGAGAUUCACAAGCCUGUACCUCAUUCCUCUUUGGUUUUCCCCAAUAGCACAAGUGCUCAGUUGCAUGGAAUCCAAUUUGCUGUAGAAACUUGAAUACCCCAAGGAGGAAAAUAUUCUCCACUAAAAAAGAUGGGUCUCCACAACGUCGGAGAGAACCUCCUGAUGCUUCGGUGGAGUUUGUAGAAAUCUCACCUGGCUACAAGUUCACCCGGAGUAAAGAACAUCUCUAUGUGACUCUAGGGGAGGGAUUUUUUGAAAAGAAAAGAACUGCUGAUGAACCAGCUCCACCUAUCACUCCAAGACGCAUCAUCUGCUCUGAUUCAACCUGCACCAGUUUGAUGUCCAUUUCCUCUUUUACUCUCUUUGCAGACCCCCUGUGAAACUUGAGACGGAAGAUAUUGUUGCUGACUUGGAGGAACAGGUUGCCCAGCUG
rnacentral:lncRNA from 1 species